GAUGAACGCUAGCGAUGUGCCUAACACAUGCAAGUCGAGCGGCCGCACAAGGUACUUUCCCCUCUGACGUUCGCGCCGCGCGGGUGUGUGACACGCGGAUACAACACGUCUUAUACAGGGGUAUCACCGGGAAAACGGCGCUCAUACAGUGCAAUAUCUUACACCUCAUCAUCCAGUGGUGAGAGAAGGAAUUCGUGAUACUUUAAGCAUGAUUCGCGCUGCAUUAGUUGGUAGGUAAGGUCACGCCCUGCCAAGGAAACGUAGCGUAGCUGACCUGAGAGGGGGGUCUGCCACCCGGGAACGGAGACACGGUCCAGACUCCUACGGGAGGCAGCAGUAGGGAAUGUUCCGCAAUGGGCGAAAGCCUGACGGAGCAACGCCGCGUGAGUGAUGAAGGUCUUCGGAUCGUAAAACUCUGUUAUUAGGGAAGAACAAAUGUGUAAGUAACUAUGCACGUCUUGACGGUACCUAAUCAGAAAGCCACGGCUAACUCCGUG
rnacentral:rRNA from 1 species